UAUAUAUGUGGGUCAGUGUCACAUGGAGCUUCAGACUUCUUCAUCCUCUGGAAAUAUGUGAAAAAUUGGAGGCCCCAAACAACUCACAUUUUUAUGGAGAAUAUGAGGAGUUGCACAUUGGACAGUCCAGAGUGACAGAUCUUCUUUAAAGUGAUGCAGGCCAUCAACACCAUCCUACUGUGCAGGGUCAUCCAUCUCAGUGACAUGGACGCCUUCAUCACUGGCUUUGCCGACAUGGGCUGCAGGGAGCUAUUGAUGGCAACCAUAUCCCCAUCCAGGCCACCAACCUCCGGACAUCUGUCUACAUUCGUGGUCACCAACCAGUCGAUCGCGAUCGGCUGGUCGAUCGCGAGGCCUCAACCAGUUGAUCGCAAAGCGUUCUGGGCCCUCUAUUUCCCCACACCUCCAAGAAGUCCCACUACCUACCUUGAGCGACAAUGGAGGUAGUAGCAGCUUCCCGCAGGGUGGACGGAAGUCCUGCAGCUGCGCGUCACUUCCGGGGUUUCUGGAAAUGCUCUGGCUGCUUCCUUGCCCCAAGUCUGUGGCGUGCCAGGAACUUACCGGGUAACUUAUGCUAAAAAAGAGUAAUGACCUUCAGGAAGCAAGGCCAGCAACAGACCCAGUCUCCAGGCAACCUGACAUAUGCAGCUGAACCGUAGUAGCCUGCAUGAUUCACUGCACCACCUCAUUGGUUAGAGGAGUCUGACAACUGGCUCUUAAGCCCAGCAACAGCAUUUUAGUCACUGCUUGAAAUAGUUGCCUGUUGGUGUGAUAGUGCCUGAAUCUGCCUCCUUCCAUCUUUGGGAGCCUGACUUCACUCCAAAUAGCUGGGUCCUGAUGACCCUCAGCUCCAAUUUUUGUCGCUGGCUCUGACCCUUGGCUCUGAUUUCUGGCCAUCUCCUCUUGAUGUAGCCAUGAGGCAUAACUACCCACACUCUGAUCACUGUCAAAGCCACUUUUUCUCUAGAAUA